AGCGAACGCUGGCGGCAGGCCUAACACAUGCAAGUCGAACGAACCUUUCGGGGUUAGUGGCGGACGGGUGAGUAACACGUGGGAACGUGCCUUUAGGUUCGGAAUAACUCAGGGAAACUUGUGCUAAUACCGAAUGUGCCCUUCGGGGGAAAGAUUUAUCGCCUAUAGAGCGGCCCGCGUCUGAUUAGCUAGUUGGUUGAGGUAAUGGCUCACCAAGGCGACGUUCAGUAGCUGGUCUGAGAGGAUGAUCAGCCACAUUGGGACUGAGACACGGCCCAAACUCCUACGGGAGGCAGCAGUGGGGAAUCUUGCGCAAUGGGCGAAAGCCUGACGCAGCCAUGCCGCGUGAAUGAUGAAGGUCUUAGGAUUGUAAAAUUCUUUCACCGGGGACGAUAAUGACGGUACCCGGAGAAGAAGCCCCGGCUAACUUCGUG
rnacentral:rRNA from 1 species